rnacentral:rRNA from 1 species
GCCCUUCGUCGACAACAGAGUUUGAUCCUGCUCAGGAUGAACGCUGGCGGCGUGCUUAACACAUGCAAGUCGAACGAACCUUCGGGUUAGUGGCGGACGGGUGAGUAACGCGUGAGAAUCUGCCCUCAGGAGGGGGACAACAGUUGGAAACGACUGCUAAUACCCCAUAUGCCGAGAGGUGAAAUGAAUUUCGCCUGGGGAUGAGCUCGCGUCUGAUUAGCUUGUUGGUGGGGUAAUGGCUUACCAAGGCUUCGAUCAGUAGCUGGUCUGAGAGGACGAUCAGCCACACUGGGACUGAGACACGGCCAGACUCCUACGGGAGGCAGCAGU